UACAGAGGGCUCAAGCGUUGUUCGGAUUCAUUGGGCGUAAAGGGUGCGUAGGCGGCGCGGUAAGUCGGGUGUGAAAUCUCGGAGCUUAACUCCGAAACUGCAUUCGAUACUGCCGUGCUUGAGGACUGGAGAGGAGACUGGAAUUUACGGUGUAGCGGUGAAAUGCGUAGAUAUCAGGAGGAACACCUGUGGUGUAGACAGCUUACUGGACCACGACUGACGCUGAGGCACGAAAGCGUGGGUAGCAAACAGG
rnacentral:rRNA from 1 species